UUGCAAAACAAAAAAAAUAAAAGACAUGAAAAGACAACCCAACAUUAAUGAGCUGUUAUUUCCUAAAAAUCUUCUUAAAAUAUCUUCAUUUUCAUUUACAGCUCUUGGAGAAGGACAAAAGACUGGUAUUCAUUAGGGUUCCUUCUCUAAAUCAUCCACCUGUUGGAAUUCUUCACCCCCAUCCUCGAUCAAUUUCUGCCUCUGUGACGCCCUCAGCAACUGGUCUGUGAAUAAUGAUUUUCCCUUUCCAGUCUCUGACUAUGAGUCCCGAACAUGACCUUUGUGUUUUAAGGUCCACUGCUGCAUCGAAAUUGAUUUUGUAGAUACCUUGAAUCGGAGGCC